GGGGAUUUAGCUCAGUGGUUAGAGCGCUUGCCUAGUAAGCGCAAGGCCCUGGGUUCGGUCCCCAGCUCCG
rnacentral:tRNA from 1 species